GAUGAACGCUAGCGGGAGGCCUAACACACGCAAGCCGAGCGGUAUUGUUUCUUCGGAAAUGAGAGAGCGGCGUACGGGUGCGUAACACGUGUGCAACCUGCCUUUAUCUGGGGGAUAGCCUUUCGAAAGGAAGAUUAAUACUCCAUAAUAUAUUGAACGGCAUCGUUUAAUAUUGAAAGCUCCGGCGGAUAGAGAUGGGCACGCGCAAGAUUAGCUAGUUGGUGAGGUAACGGCUCACCAAGGCGAUGAUCUUUAGGGGGCCUGAGAGGGUGAUCCCCCACACUGGUACUGAGACACGGACCAGACUCCUACGGGAGGCAGCAGUGAGGAAUAUUGGUCAAUGGGUGCAAGCCUGAACCAGCCAUCCCGCGUGAAGGACGACUGCCCUAUGGGUUGUAAACUUCUUUUGUAUAGGGAUAAACCUACCCUCGUGAGGGUAGCUGAAGGUACUAUACGAAUAAGCACCGGCUAACUCCGUG
rnacentral:rRNA from 1 species